UACGGGGGGAGCAAGCGUUGUUCGGAUUUACUGGGCGUAAAGGGCGCGUAGGCGGUCAGCACAAGUCAGUUGUGAAAUCUACGGGCUUAACUCGGAAAGGUCAACUGAUACUGUGCGACUAGAGUGCGGAAGGGGCAACUGGAAUUCUCGGUGUAGCGGUGAAAUGCGUAGAUAUCAGGAGGAACACCGAUGGCGAAGGCAGAUCUCUGGGCCGUAACUGACGCUGAGGAGCGAAAGCGUGGGGAGCGAACAGG
rnacentral:rRNA from 1 species